rnacentral:rRNA from 1 species
GUCGAACGAUGAACACCGGAGCUUGCUCUGGUGGGAUUAGUGGCGAACGGGUGAGUAACACGUGAGCAAUCUGCCCCCGACUCUGGGAUAACCCCGAGAAAUCGGAGCUAAUACCGGAUACGACACCUCCUGGCAUCAGGUGGGUGUGGAAAGAAUUUCGGUUGGGGAUGAGCUCGCGGCCUAUCAGCUUGUUGGUGAGGUAAUGGCUCACCAAGGCGACGACGGGUAGCCGGCCUGAGAGGGUGACCGGCCACACUGGGACUGAGACACGGCCCAGACUCCUACGGGAGGCAGCAGUGGGGAAUAUUGCACAAUGGGCGCAAGCCUGAUGCAGCAACGCCGCGUGGGGGACGACGGCCUUCGGGUUGUAAACCUCUUUUGGCAGGGAAGAAGCGAAAGUGACGGUACCUGCAGAAAAAGCACCGGCUAACUACGUGCCAGCAGCCGCGGUAAUACGUAGGGUGCAAGCGUUGUCCGGAAUUAUUGGGCGUAAAGAGCUCGUAGGCGGUGUGUCACGUCUGCUGUGAAAGUCCAAGGCUCAACCUUGGACUUGCAGUGGGUACGGGCACACUCGAGUGCGGUAGGGGAGAUUGGAAUUCCUGGUGUAGCGGUGGAAUGCGCAGAUAUCAGGAGGAACACCGAUGGCGAAGGCAGAUCUCUGGGCCGUAACUGACGCUGAGGAGCGAAAGCGUGGGGAGCGAACAGGAUUAGAUACCCUGGUAGUCCACGCCGUAAACGGUGGGAACUAGAUGUGGGGUCCGUUCCACGGAUUCCGUGUCGUAGCUAACGCAUUAAGUUCCCCGCCUGGGGAGUACGGCCGCAAGGCUAAACUCAAAGGAAUUGACGGGGGCCCGCACAGCGGCGGACAUGCGAUAAUACGAUGCACGCGAGACUUACCAGGCUGACAUAUAGAGAAGUGCAGAGAUGCACUCCCCGCAGUCUCUAUACAGGUGUGCAUGUUGUCGUCAGCUCGGUCGUGAGAUGUU